UUCCAGACUCCUACGGGAGGCAGCAGUGAGGAAUAUUGGUCAAUGGGCGAGAGCCUGAACCAGCCAAGUCGCGUGAAGGAUGACGGCCCUACGGGUUGUAAACUUCUUUUGUCAGGGAGCAAUUGAGUCCACGUGUGGGCUUAGCGAGAGUACCUGAAGAAAAAGCAUCGGCUAACUCCGUGCCAGCAGCCGCGGUAAUACGGAGGAUGCGAGCGUUAUCCGGAUUUAUUGGGUUUAAAGGGUGCGUAGGCGGAUUUUUAAGUCAGCGGUAAAAUGUCCGGGCUCAACCCGGGCCGGCCGUUGAAACUGGGGAUCUUGAGUGGGCGAGAAGUAUGCGGAAUGCGUGGUGUAGCGGUGAAAUGCAUAGAUAUCACGCAGAACUUCGAUUGCGAAGGCAGCAUACCGGCGCCCGACUGACGCUGAGGCACGAAAGCGUGGGGAUCGAACAGGAUUAGAUACCCGUGUAU
rnacentral:rRNA from 1 species